rfam:Clostridium saccharolyticum WM1, complete genome.
UCUGGUGCCGAUGCGCUUAGGGGAGACACCCGUUCCCAUCCCGAACACGAUGGUUAAGACUUAAGCGGCCGAUGGUACUAUGCUGGAGACGGCAUGGGAGAGCAGGUGGGUGCCAGAU